rnacentral:lncRNA from 1 species
UCCCAAUCUGUUGUCGUUGUUAUUAUUAUUAUUUUUUUAUUCAUUCUUAUUUUUUCUGCAACUUGUAACCACUUAAGGACUUUUUAUUAUCAGUGUUGUAAUGUGUUAACAGUUGAUGCAAUUUUGUAUUAUUAUUUCUGUAUUUACAUAACUUCAGUUUCAAAAGACAAAAUAAAGAUCUCCAGCAUGGCCUUUAAUAGUUUAGUUUGUACAAAACAAGAGCAGCUAAAUAAACAUUCUCAAAAUAUUGCUAAAUCAUGACAUUUCCCCUCCCAAAGAAUAUAUUUUUUCUAAUUGGACAUGGAGUAUUUCAACAUGGAGUAUUUCAACAUGGAGUAUUUCUUUUACAAUUUGCACAUUUUCCCCAGUAUUUCCCAAUAUAUUGUGACUGUGGAUUUUGGGCAUAGAGAAUAUCUUUCUGUAAAAAAAUAAAAAUACAAUGUAUGUUCAGCUAUAUUGGAAUGUUACACAUUCUUUAUAUUUACACCAAGAACAAUGACUAGUCCAUGUUCAUUAACCCCUUAAGGACACAUGACAUGUGUGACAUGUCAUGAUUCCCUUUUAUUCCAGAAGUUUGGUCCUUAAGGGGUUAAUGAGCUGGACACUGAUAAAUAGAUAAUACUGUAGUGAAACUAUUACAAAUGAACAAGUCACACUCUACUUCAAUAAAAAUAGAUUUACAUUAUUCCAUAAAAAUCCAUUGUUGUAUUGAGCAUAAUAAGUUUGGGCAUCUGCAUCUUGCACUACCUUUAUAACAUUUCAAGAAAUAGACCAUAAUACUGCAUUGUGAGCUGUAUUUUCAUGUAAAGACUUGUUGUUUUAUUUUUGCUUCGCUGUUCAGUUUUAUUUUCUCUUUUAUGGAGGUAGCUUGAUCACAACAAGCCUCUCCUUAUUGUUUGUUCCCAAGGCAGUAACAUGAUACCAGUUUCACUAUAGGCUACAGGCUCACUGUUGUAGGACUAACCAUAUGGUUGUAACAAGCCCUGGGGCCCUCCUCUCCCAUAUGGAAUGCUAGAGGUCAGCUUUUCAUAUACUAGUAAUGUAGCUAGCAAUCUCCUUGGGGUAUUAUUCUCCUUCAGUGAUCUCUUCUCUAAGGCAGGUGGCCUGGGUACAGAAAAUUAGGGCGUUUCUUUGCUGAGCUCAUAAAACAAAUAAUAGUGUUGUUUUAGCCCUGUAAUUUGAUAACUAUAUAUCGGCAUACAUUAUUGAUUGGAAUCAAUAUGCAUAGUAUUCCAUCCCAGCCAGUUCAUACGUCUUGAUAACAAAAGGCAUAUUGAAAUUAUUACUAUAAUUAUUAUUAUUAUAUUUAUAUAGCGCCAACAGAUUCUGCAGUGCUUUACAAUAUUAUGAAAGGGGGGAUUUAACUAUAGGACAAUAACAAGAAAACUUACAGGAACGAUAAGUUGAAGAGGACCAUGCUCAAACGAGCUUAAAUGCCAUUCGAUUCUGUAUAAUAUCAGCUGAACUAAACACAGUUUGUUUUGGUAACAUGGAUUUUAUGUUGUAAAAUAGUUUUUUUAAAAUUAUGAGUAAAACAAUAUUUCAACAGAAAAAUAAAUCUAUUGCUUGCAUAAUUUUUCAAACCCUAUGAAGUCAACUGUUUAACAUUGUUCCAGUUGACUUAAAACGGCUCUGUCAUGGGCUGAACCUUUUUUCAUGUCCCAUUGCCACUGACUUUCCUAGUCCUUAAUACCUCCCCAGUUUAUUUCUUUUUUACUUAUGACCCUUAUUUUUAUAUUUAUUAAUUUUUAUGUUUGGUCACCAGUUCUUUAUUUGUCCAUGCACCGCCAUUUUGAGGAUUGUGGCAGUAACGAUUAGUCUUUGACCUCAUCUGUUCAUACUCAGCCCCGCAAUGCAAUUCCCAUACUUGCCCGCAGCACUGCUGAGCAACCAGCCUGGCAGCCAAAAUCAAUGGAGCUUGUACUGGGCAUGCACAAGACUUGGAGAAGAACAGUUGAUGAAUCCUGAAAAUAGAAUGGAUGAGGGACACAACAGGCAGAUACGUUUUGUGGGUAGUGGGUUUGACAAAGGAAGUGGAGAUAGCUUAAACUCCACCCUUUGUCAAACUUUGUCAUGAUUUUUUUUCUGUUUGUUUUUUUACGAAGAUCAGAAAGGAAGAAAAGAAGACCAGAUCCAGAGAGAAGAAGAGAGGCAUACAUUUAAGAAAGGAAUGUUUGGUGUGACUCUAAUAUUUGUCCCUCCAUUAAAUGUCAUCAUGUAUUUUCAGGAUAACAACCAUACUGCCACAGGAUUGUUGGUCAGGUUUUGAACAGGAAGGAAAAUGAGAACCAGAAAGCAUUCUACAGAAAAAGCAACACAGAUGCAAUAAUUAGGAAAGGGCUACAAUAUAAAACCCAAGUUUGGUUACCCUUUUAACACAUGUGGAUCAAUAUCAGGAAGUGAAUGUUGCAUCAGAGCACCUUGGUUCUACCAAGAAAAUGAUAGGACUUUAACCUCAUUAUUUAAUCAUGAAGGGUACUUUAGAGAAAAGCAACAGAGGAUGUGUAUUCUCUUUAACUUUAUUCAUCACUUACUUGUUUCUCCAGAUUGCGUCCUGCAAGUCACUCCUUGAUUUCUCCUUAGUAUGGCACUCAGCGACACUCACUGCUUAUACAAGGAAGGCUGCAGACCUCUUAUGACAACACUGCUCUACCUCACAUGCAUGCAUUCAGGUCUCCUAAACAAAGUCCACAUUAGGAAUUCAGAUGAAAGCUAAUGACACUGGGAUGUGACAACAUUAUCAGUGAGUGGUCAAGGUAGGUAACCACAUAAGUGACCUUCUCCUGAUUCUCCUGAGGACUCCAGGAUGGUGCCUAGUCUUUUAACCUCUUUAAGGACACAUGACAUGUAUGACAUGUCAUGAUUCCCUUUUAUUCCAGACGUUUGGUCCUAAAGGGGUUAACUGACUUCCUGAUCAGUUUACGGCUUUAUUGUUUUCAGGAUAUACAACACCAUUUCUGAAACUUUGCCACAACCGUUUAUCCUAGAUCUUUUAAACUCUUGUAUUUGCCCUUAAGAACUUUCCUUUUUUAGUAGCAUCUUGGCUGUCAUAUAACUCUCCAGGUAUGUCCUGUGUCAUUCCAGUCUUUCCAGUCAAUGCCAUCUUCUAAAGCUUUGGCAAUCUAAUUACUGUAUAUUGGCCUCCACUCCCAGCAAAUCUUACACAUAGAGGGCAGGGAACCACCGAAUUCAGGGUCUGGGAGUGGUACAUUAGCCUACCAUUAAAAUAACCUAAUAACAUAAUUCUGGUCCACAUGGGAUUAUGGCAAGAAAGUAAUCGUUUAUUAAAUAGUUUCACAUGAGCGCAUGUCUGCAGAUUGCUAAAUCAUGGAAGGGUAAAAAUAGUUUUUUUGGUCAAAAUUCAAAGUAAAGUGCAAAAUUACACUAUCCUUGCAUCAAGACUACCACUGUAGUAAAAUAUUGUGGUAUUAUUAUGCUGUUGGCAUACGUUUUGCCAGCUGGUUAAUGAUCUCAAGCA